CCUAUCUGGUUGAUCCUGCCAGUAGUCAUAUGCUUGUCUCAAAGAUUAAGCCAUGCAUGUCUAAGUCCAAGCUGUGUUUACACGGCGAGACCGCGGACGGCUCAUUAAAUCAGUCGUUGUCCAAAUGGGCAAGUGAUCUUUACUUGGAUAACUGUGGUAAUUCCACAGAGCUAAUACAUGCAACCUAUGCUCUGACGCGCUGGCUCUCUGAGUCUCGCUGACGAGUGCUUUUAUUAGACCAAACUGCUGGGGCUCCCUGGUGAUGCCUUCUGGUUUUUGCCAGGGACCUGAUUGCUCUGUGGUGACUCUGGAUAACCUGUUUUUUGACAAGCGCACGUACCUCCACGAGGACGGCGCUGCCACUUUCGAGUGUCUGCUUUAUCAGCUUUCAAUCGCUCGUUAUACGCGACCGAUGGCUUUGACGGGUAACGGGGAAUCAGGGUUCGAUUCCGGAGAGGCAGCCUGAGAGACGGCUACCACGUCCAAGGACGGCAGCAGGCACGCAAAUUACCCAAUCCCAGCACAUUUGGGGGAGGUAGUGACGAAACAUAACGAAGCGUGCGCCCUUUACGGGUCUCGCUAUCGGAAUGAGCACUUCUCUAAACACUCUGUUGAGAACCUACUGAAGGGCAAGUCUGGUGCCAGCAGCCGCGGUAAUUCCAGCUUCAGUAGCAUAUAUUAAAGUUGCUGCGGUUAAAAGGCUCGUAGUUGAAUGUCUGUUCCGGGUUGCGGGUGGAGGACGUUGGUGUUGUGUUGUUGUUACCCAUCGCGGCGCACGCACGCUCCCGUCCGUUACAAUCCUCCGCGCCCGCGUACAAAAGGGCACAGUGGCUUCACCCGCUUGCGGGAGUACGCCUCCGUGCCAAUGUCACCCCUGAGUAAAUCAGAGUGCUCAAAGCAGUCGUAAAGGGGUUCGCCCUGUUAACAGACGGCGUGAGGGGCUCCGUGUGCUUCGCGGCCACGGUCUUCCGCGCUCAGAGGACCGACUUGAUUUUGCAUGGUAUGUCGGAAUACGACGUCGGGCGCUGGCUAACGGUCGUAGCAGUGGUAUAAGCCAGCCUCGACGUACUGAUUAAAAGGGCUUGUCGAGGGCAUUGGUAUUGCGAAGCGAGAGGUGAAAUUCUAUGACCUUCGCAAGACCUCCUGAAGCGAAAGCGUCUGCCAAGGAUGUUUUCAUUAAUCAUGAACGAAAGUUAGAGGAUCGAAGGCGAUCAGAUACCGCCCUAGUUCUAACCCUAAACGAUGCCAACCAUCAAUCCGCCUGGUACCCUUUUUAACGGGCCAGGCGGGCGGCUCCUAUCUUACGGGAAACCAGAGUCUUUGGGUUCCGGGGGGAGUCUGGUUGCAAAGCUGAAACUUAAAGGAAUUGACGGAAAGGCACCACCAGGCGUGGAGCCUGCGGCUUAAUUUGACUCAACACGGGCAAUCUCACCAGGCCAGGACUCUAGCAUGAUUGACAGAUUGAGAGCUCUUUCUCGAUUCAGUGGAUGGUGGUGCAUGGCCGUUCUUAGUUGGUGGAGUGAUCUGUCUGGUUAAUUCCGAUAACGAACGAGACUCUCCCCUGCUAACUAGUCGGCUGGAUCUUUAUUUGCGGGUUAGCAGUUCGGAGGAAUUUUCUGGGCCCCGGCGAAGGCGUGCUUGAUGGUUGGUGCCGUCCCUCACGGGUUCUGUGCGCUUUCCUCGGGUCGUUCGAGCUGGGUGUACCGGUGGUUCUCUCCCUGCGCCCAAAGUCCGCCGGCCAUUUAUGGUCUAUAAGAUUUCUUCUUAGAGGGAUAAACGGCUCUGAAGCCGUCAGAGACUGAGAGCAAUAACAGGUCUGUGAUGCCCUUAGAUGCUCUGGGCCGCACGCGCGCUACAAUGCUGGACACAGCAGGUUCUUUGUCCAGCUUCGAGAGAAGCGGGUAACCCUCUGAAAGUCCUUCAACAUUUCUUCUCCUCUCGUUGGUCUUGUCUUCGGACUUUGCCGCGAGGGAGAGCAGCGUGCUUGGGCCUGGGGUUUGCAACUAUCCCCCACAAACGAGGAAUGCCUAGUAGCGGCGGGUCACUGAGCCCGCCGUGACUGAGUCCCUGCCCUUUGUACACACCGCCCGUCGCUACUACCGAUUGGGUGUUCCAGUGAGAACCUUGGACUGGCGGACGCCCCCUAAAAGGUGGUAUCACGACUGAAAGAGGUUCGAACUGGUGCACUUAGAGGAAGUAAAAGUCGUAACAAGGUUUCCGUAGUGAACCUGCGGAAGGAUCAUUA
rnacentral:rRNA from 1 species